AUGAAUGCUGGCGGCGUGUCUAAGGCAUGCAAGUCGAGCGGAUCAUAUUUUGUCGCAAGACGAGAUAUGGUUAGCGGCAAACGGGUGCGUAACACAUUGGUAACCUGCCUCGAAGUCGGGCACAACAUCGCGAAAGCGGUGCUAAUUCCACGAUGGUCAUGAGGGGACGUAUGUCUUCCUUAUGUAAAGUCGCAAGACGCUUCGAGAGGGGCCUAUGGCCUAUCAGCUAGUUGGCGGGAUAAAAGCCCACCAAGGCGAUGACGGGUAGGGGAUGUGAGAGCAUGAUCCCCCUCACUGGAACUGAGACACUGUCCAGACACCUACGGGUGGCUGCAGUUGAGAAUAUUCCCCAAUGGGCGAAAGCCUGAGGGAGCGACGCCGCGUGUGGGAAGACGGGCUUCGGCUCGUAAACCACUUUUGCCGAGGAAGAAAUUUGACGGUACUCGGAGAAUAAGAGGUUGCUAACUCUGU
rnacentral:rRNA from 1 species